rnacentral:rRNA from 1 species
UACCAGCACCCCGAGUGGUCGGGACGUUUAUUGGGCCUAAAGCCUCCGUAGCCGGUUCUACAAGUCUUCCGUUAAAUCCACCUGCUUAACAGAUGGGCUGCGGAAGAUACUAUAGAGCUAGGAGGCGGGAGGGGCAAGCGGUACUCGAUGGGUAGGGGUAAAAUCCGUUGAUCCAUUGAAGACCACCAGUGGCGAAGGCGGCUUGCCAGAACGCGCUCGACGGUGAGGGAUGAAAGCUGGGGGAGCAAACCGG